rfam:Otolemur garnettii contig188570, whole genome shotgun sequence.
GUGCCUGUGGCUCAGUGGGUAGGGCAUCAGUCCCAUAUACUGAGGGUGGCGGGUUCAAACCCGGCCCCGGCCA